rnacentral:rRNA from 1 species
UACGGGGGGAGCAAGCGUUGUUCGGAUUUACUGGGCGUAAAGGGCGCGUAGGCGGCCUCUGCAAGUCGACUGUGAAAUCUCCGGGCUUAACCCGGAAAGGUCAGCCGAUACUGCAGGGCUAGAGUGCAGAAGGGGCAACUGGAAUUCUCGGUGUAGCGGUGAAAUGCGUAGAUAUCGAGAGGAACACCUGCGGCGAAGGCGGGUUGCUGGGCUGACACUGAGGCGCGACAGCGUGGGGAGCAAACAGG